rnacentral:lncRNA from 1 species
AAAAUGGGCUAAACAUGCUUCCAAAGGGUCAUCUGCCAGAAUAUAGGGAAGGGCUUCUUCUACAAGAUCGUCCAUUUUGUCAACUAGGAAGCACUCAUCUUCCCUUGCAGGUUGAUCAGAGGCAUGGAAUACAUUUAGUUUAACUUUCAUAUUUCCAAAAGAUAUAUCCAUCACCCCAGUUCUACAGUUAAUACAUGCAUUGGCUGUAGCUAGGAAGGGACGAUCGAGAAUCAUAGGGAUCUGUUUCUUAAGGUUCGGCACAGGUUCCAUAUCAAGGACGAUGAAAUCAACUGGAAAAUAAAAUUUAUCUACCUUGACUAGGACAUCUUCAAUUGUUCCUCG